GAUGAACGCUGGCGGCAUGCCUAAUACAUGCAAGUCGAGCGAACACAUGAGGAGCUUUCUCCCCUGACGUUAGCGGCGGACGGGUGAGUAACACAUGGUUAACCUACCUAUAAGACUGGGGUACCUUCGCGAAACCGGAGCUAAUAACGGAAAAUAUAUCGAACUUCAUGGUGCAAUAGUUAAAGAAGGUUUUGCUUACACUUAAAGAUUACUCCGCGCAGCAUUAGCUAGUUGGUAAGGUAACGGCUUACCCACGCAACGAUGCGAAGCCGACCCGAGAGGGUGAGUCGCCAGACUGGAUCUGAGACACGGUCCACACUCCGACGGGAGGACGCAGUAGAGACUCUUACGCAAAGCAGGAGUGCCUGAUAUAGCAAAGCCGCGUGAGUGAUGAAGCUCUUAUGACCGUAGAACGCUGUUAUUAGGGAAGAAGAAAAGCGUAAGUACCCGUGAACGUCUUGACGGUACCUAAACAGAAAGCCCCGGCUAACUCCGUG
rnacentral:rRNA from 1 species